rnacentral:sRNA from 1 species
UGAAAGAGUGACAAGACUGAUAUUUUAGAGGUAGUCUAAAUGGUUUUAUGAUCAUAUUCUACGUGUAUUUAUAUCAUUUUAUAAACUGACAAACACGUCUAUCUUAGUGCAGAGGUCAUACCGGUAUUGAUUACAAACAUUUAGAUAGUAUUGUAGCGUAUGUUUUAAUAUUUUCCAAAUAGAUUACGUGAAGUGAUUUCUAAUGAAUUUUUUUUUAUUUGCACAGAAUGAGUGCAAAGUUUCAAAUACGUCUAUCAAUCAUUGUCAAUAUGUGUUGACAUCUCCCAUGCGCUAAAUAAGUAUAUAAUUGUCUAAAGGAAAGUAUGAAUUAAUGAAUAAACGUUAACCCAACAAAUUGCAUAGAAUCACGUAUAACCGAAUUAUAUUACUUUUCACUUGUGUGUCUGUAUUCAAGUCUGUGUAUUUGGUAAAUAAAUAGACAGAAAAC